CCUACGGGUGGCAGCAGUAAGGAAUAUUGGACAAUGGCGGAGACGCUGAUCCAGCUAUCCCGCGUGCAGGAUGAAGGACCUAUGGUUUGUAAACUGCUUUAGACUGGGGCGAAAAAGUGGGAUUUAUCCUACAUUGACGGUACCAGUAAAAUAAGCACCGGCUAACUCCGUGCCAGCAGCCGCGGUAAUACGGAGGGUGCAAGAGUUAUCCGGAAUAAAUGGGGCGAAGGCGUGUUGCGACGGCUUGCGUGAAAGGCCACGGCUUAACCGUGGGAUUGCGUUUGAUACUGGCGAGCUUGGAUUAGGACGAGGUUGGCGGAAUGUGGCAAGUAGCGGUGAAAUGCAUAGAUAUGCCAUAGAAUACCGAUUGCGAAGGCAGCUGACUAGACCUAUAUUGACGCUGAGGCACGAAAGCGUGGGGAGCGAACAGGAUUAGAUACCCUAGUAGUC
rnacentral:rRNA from 1 species